ensembl:lncRNA
GUAAGGUUAGCGGCUAAACUCCGGUGUCAGCAGGGAGCGCAGCGCUAACGCUAGCAACCCCAGCCUGCGGGUUCCCGUGGAGACAGGCCACGGUUACCCGGUAUUUGUCUCGCCUUUGUUUUAUUUACAUUUCAGGUUGCGGUUUCCAGUGCUUGGCAAGUGGAUACGUGAUCCGGUUUUCACAUUGCCUCUUUCUCUGGGAGGACUCAGGCUGCUGUCUGGCCUCUGCCUGGCUGUUGAGUCAUAACCACCACCAGAAGAUGACAAGAACACAGCCGCUGGAACCCGUCAGCCAAUAGCCCCGAGCAAGUUAUUAACUCCUAAGCCUCAAUUUUCUCAUCAGUAAAAUGGGCCUAAUAAUCAUUUGCAAAGCCAGGCUAAUGCCAACCUUGGGUUUCCCACACGGCAGUUAGAGAGAUGAAAUGCAAUAAAUGCAUGUGAAAGCAACUUGUGAACCAGAAAGCCGCUCACACUGGGAGCCAUUACUAAGAGGUUGUGAGAAACAAGUGCCUGGGAAAGAGUCUAUUAUCGCGAGCGCACGCGUGUGUGUGGAUUGUGCCACUCAGAGGACAACGUUUGGGAGCUGAUGCUCUCCUUUCACAGGGUUUUCACAUCCGGGCUGGACUUCCGGCCACUCUGCUACCCUGAGAGACGGUCGGCUUUACCAACUCCUAGACAUUUCCUUCACCGCCUCGACUCUUUCUGCUUACUCGUUUGUACUUCCGUCUUACCUUUCUGAGCCUGCAACCCUGUACACGGGGACACUCCGGCCUGCUUCCCCCAUACUGCCUUGCUCUCAGUGUCUGAGAGAGGCAGUGUCUCAGGGAGCUCCUGCUGGAGUCACGUGCUUUAGUGGACCAUACCCUGACGUCAGAUACCGCCAGCGUUGGGUCCAAGGAGAACUCACCUGAGGAGAGAGGAAAUCAUCUGUCCAAUGUAGACCUUGAAAACUAACUCCCUAUCCCCCCUCACCACCCCCUCCACAGGGUUUCUCAAAAGGUCCACCUGCCUCUGUCUCCUGAGAGCUGUGACUGAAGCCUGUGCCACCCCUGCUUGGCAAACUGUCUUUUUAAAAAAGAAUAAAUUCGUAUUUUUCUGUG